GGGGGGAUAGCUUAAUUGGUUAAAGCAGUCGCCCGGCAAGCGAAAGAUCCGGGUUCGAGUCCCGGUUCCCCCG